rnacentral:piRNA from 2 species
UUGAAUGUGAUGGAGCAUCAAUGCCU